ACGUUAUUGCGUAUGGUUGAGUU
rnacentral:siRNA from 1 species